GACAGAGGGUGCAAACGUUGUUCGGAUUUACUGAGCGUAAAGCGCGUGUAGGCGGCUUUGCAAGUCGGAUGUGAAAGCCCACGGCUCAACCGUGGAAGUGCAUCCGAAACUGCAUGGCUGGAGUCUCGGAGAGGAAGGUGGAAUGCUUGGUGUAGAGGUGAAAUUCGUAGAUAUCAAGCAGAACACCUGCGGCGAAGGCGGCCUUCUGGACGAUGACUGACGACGUGGAGACGCGAAAGCGUGGGGAGCAAACAGG
rnacentral:rRNA from 1 species